AAAUUGAAGAGUUUGAUCAUGGCUCAGAUUGAACGCUGGCGGCAGGCCUAACACAUGCAAGUCGAACGGUAACAGGAAGCAGCUUGCUGCUUUGCUGACGAGUGGCGGACGGGUGAGUAAUGUCUGGGAAACUGCCUGAUGGAGGGGGAUAACUACUGGAAACGGUGGCUAAUACCGCAUAACGUCGCAAGACCAAAGAGGGGGACCUUCGGGCCUCUUGCCAUCAGAUGUGCCCAGAUGGGAUUAGCUUGUUGGUGAGGUAACGGCUCACCAAGGCGACGAUCCCUAGCUGGUCUGAGAGGAUGACCAGCCACACUGGAACUGAGACACGGUCCAGACUCCUACGGGAGGCAGCAGUGGGGAAUAUUGCACAAUGGGCGCAAGCCUGAUGCAGCCAUGCCGCGUGUAUGAAGAAGGCCUUAGGGUUGUAAAGUACUUUCAGCGGGGAGGAAGGUGUUGCGGUUAAUAACCGCAGCAAUUGACGUUACCCGC
rnacentral:rRNA from 1 species